AUUGACCAUCUGGCCAGACUCCUAAACCUAAAGCUAUGGUAAGUGACUUCUUUAUUUGCUCCACAGCGUUGACGGCUACCUCACUUAACUGAAACUUCCCAUUAUUUUUCCUCGGAGCAUUUGUCAGUGGUACCGAGAUACCAAGAAGCUACGCAGUUUCUUGACCGUCAUUGGAGCAGGCAUGUUAUUGAUGGCCUCCACUCUGCUCGAAUCUAUGAUGAAACCUAAAUAAUUGAGGUUCCGAAAACAGAAUUUGGAUUUGGUUUCCUCCAGCUCAAUCUGUCAGAAGGCACACUUCAAAUCGACGCAUGAGAUGAAGUGCGUCUCAUCGAUUUACAAGAGAAUCCCUUGGAUGCAUGGAAUAGGAUACGCAUAUUUCAUCGAUUUUUGCAGGGCUUCAUGACGACCGUCGUUCUCCAUGAACUGUGGUUCUCUUUUAUGAUGGUUCGGUUCCCUCAAUUGGCUGUAUCCCAUGUUGUAACAAGUCCCACAAUUCCGGAUCAGAUACGACAACAUCCUCGCCCCGGUAAUAUUCCACUUCGACAGUUGUUACAUCAGUUGUCUCUCUGUGGUACAAGUCUCAAACAGAUUCGGAGCGAUGUCGAAAGCUCUCCAGAAGUCCAUGCCCAAAUAAACCACCUGUUUUAAGUCGGCGCACAUGAAGAAAACUAUCUGCUUCGAAUUGCCGCCAUAUGGUACUGACAGAUUGACUCGUCCCAGGAUCGGGCGACUGGCUCCUGCAGAAAUUGUGACCAUGGACGUGUACGGGGGCACAUUCCAAUUCAUCUUGCUGACAAGCUCUCGGCAUCCUCGACCCAGCAGACUAACGGACGCGUCAGACUCAAGAAGGCUUUUCAGAGCAUGUCCACCGAUGAUUAUAUCUGCAAAGAGUCGAGGAUCGGUGGUCUCCACACUUCGAACUCCUUCAUCGACUUAUCUCCUCGUUAGCCACCGCCGACGAAAACGAGCGCGUGCCUUUAUAACGCGUUUCGUGGCCAGCAUCAUCUCUCCAAUCUGCCGCUCACCAAAAAUUCUAUUUCGAGCCGACAUGUAUUCCCGAACACGAUCUUAACACUAUGGUAAGACUCUUACUGUCGUUCCUUUUACUAGUGUAUCCACGAUAUUUAACCUUAACUUAGGUGUAAUUUUCGCUUACAGUAUUGUCCUCCAAUUGUUUUUGUUGGUAAGCCACUCCAGUUUCUGAUCGGGUCUUGCCUCCAAUGCGCCUGCCCCGGUCUCAUCGCGUUCGCCCAGGAGUUUCCCGGACAAUUGACGCAUUGCGGGCUAAACGUGUCGGGCUUGCCGCACCGAAAGCAAAAGAUGCUCCUCGUCCCGGACAUACAAUCCCGGAAACCGUGACCAGGUUGCCUGCAGUUCCAGCAGUUCCAACCGUCUCGCGGUUCUACGCAACCGUUUCCUCCACUUCCUUUGGUUGGACUCUUUUCGCGCAGAGGUGGGUUUUCAACCUCGUUAACUACUAGUUUGACUCCGUGCGGAUACCGAAUUCGUUGUCCCUGUGAUGAGCGCCCUCGACGACUCAUCUAUCGCCCCACUUCGAUACAUUCUUGGCGUAACUCGUCCACCCUCAAGGUCCCGGAGAUGUUUCUGGAAGCGCGAGGCUAGCCGCCGCAUGUUAUGAAUGUAGUCAUCGAUAUCUUCGCCAGACUGUUAUUUCUUCUGCAGUAGCUCCUGCAUGAUGUCAUGCUCAGUUUGGUAACCUCGAAACCGGAUCACCAUUGCUUGAUGCAAAUGGGUCCAGCUGGCCCAUUGGGACUGCUCCUUUGUUAGAUAUCGAUUUUUGCUGCGAAGAGGCGGGUCGACUGCCACUACUACCGUCCUUCUGCGGGCGGAUGAGCUCCUGCAUUAGCUUUAUCAUCUCCAUGAAGCCUGCGCUAAUCUCAUCGCGUAUCGGUGCCGCAAUCCCCUCCUGCAGUAAACUCCUUCAUCCUCGACUAUAGGACAGAAUCUGUCGACUCCGUUGGAUAGCUUUUCGGCCCUUAUCCGAUGCUUCAACCACAGAGCAUCGAGGAGGAGCAGUAGCAAGGCCUUCUUCUUAAAUUCUACGGUUGCCUUAGCCGAUGGAAACAGCACUUCCGGGAAUCCACAAAUAAAGUCUCAUACUCCAGCAGCGAGCGUAAUGCUAAAUUGGUUACUGUUUCAGUUAUACAGUCGGGCUCCUCCUCGUUGGCUGCGUCGUCUGACGUUCGCUGUCCCACGUCGUUGGUGCU